rnacentral:lncRNA from 1 species
GCCAGGUAAGCAGGUGGGAGGCUCCCCUUACUCAGAGAGUAAGGUCCUAAUUAAGUAACCACCUUUAGUGCUUUCCUUAGACACCAAUUAGAUUAAUUGUUCUAGAAUGGGUUAGCUCAAAGUUUUUCAAUACUAUGACUUAAUAUAAUUUUUAUUGAGGGCUUACUAGUCUCUAGCACAUUCUUUAAUUGUAACAUAUAUUUAACAUGUCUAAAAUAAACUAUUAUGCAUCAUGGCUAUCUCAUAGCAUGUAUAAAUCAUAAGCAAUUAAUUAACAUGCUUCAACAUAUUUUUAUAUGGAAAAUUUCAUAUCAUGAUAUUUUAUUACAUAACAUAUCAUAUAUGAAUCAUACAUUUCAGCAUUUCUCUAAGCAUAUGACAUUACUAUCUCAUAGUAAAUUAAUAAUCAUACAUCAUACAUAAUUAUUUGAUUGAACCAAUUAGGGAUGGCUCUGAUACCACUGAAG